rnacentral:rRNA from 1 species
AUUGAACGCUGGCGGCAUGCUUUACACAUGCAAGUCGAGCGGCAGCGCGGGGGCAACCCUGGCGGCGAGCGGCGGACGGGUGAGUAAUGCAUCGGAACGUAUCCCGUAGUGGGGGACAACGCAGCGAAAGCUGUGCUAAUACCGCAUACGAUCUAUGGAUGAAAGCGGGGGACCGUAAGGCCUCGCGCGAUUGGAGCGGCCGAUGUCAGAUUAGGUAGUUGGUGGGGUAAAGGCCUACCAAGCCAACGAUCUGUAGCUGGUCCGAGAGGACGACAAGCCACACUGGGACGGAGAAACGGCGCAGACUCCUACGGGAGGCAGCAGUGGGGAAUUUUGGACAAUGGGCGCAAGCCUGAUCCAGCAAUGCCGCGUGCAGGAAGAAGGCCUUCGGGUUGUAAACUGCUUUUGUACGGAACGAAACGGUCUGGGUUAAUACCCUGGACUAAUGACGGUACCGUAAGAAUAAGCACCGGCUAACUACGUGCCAGCCGCCGCCGUAAAAC